GUAUAUGUAUUGGGUUUCCAAAAUAAUGAUUACUCCCUGUUGUGUUUUGCGCGCUCCAGCGAUGAGCGUGAGUGACCCGCGAUGGUCAAAUGUGUGAGAAUUUCUGUGUGUUGCAGAGAGUUAGCGGCUGAGCACUAAUCUUCAGAACAUAUUUAAUGUUACGAAGGACUCAGCCAAUAAAGAGUGGUGAACACUA